UACAGAGGUCUCAAGCGUUGUUCGGAUUCAUUGGGCGUAAAGGGUGCGUAGGUGGCGCCGGUAAGUCGGGUGUGAAAUUCGUGACUUAACUCCGAAACUGCAUUCGAUACUGCCGUGCUUGAGGACUGGAGAGGAGACUGGAAUUUACGGUGUAGCGGUGAAAUGCGUAGAUAUCGUAAGGAAGACCAGUGGCGAAGGCGGGUCUCUGGACAGUUCCUGACGCUGAGGCACGAAGGCCAGGGGAGCAAACGGG
rnacentral:rRNA from 1 species